ACUCGAUGCAGGGCCUUUCUUUCCUGAGAGCUGCAGCUGCCGUACCAGGCAGUGAUGCUCGCAGAAAGCACAGACCCCACUGUUUGCCAAUUUGAAUUUACAAAUGUGCAAAAAAACAAAUUCCAUUUACAUGCAUUUGUUUUAAGAUUAAUAUGACUAAAUCUGCGCAACUUUCCGGCUGGUCUGUGAUUUAUAAAGGGAAAGUGCGUGCAGGUGUGCGUAGACAGGGUUUUAUAAAUCAGAUUUUUUUUUGGCCUACGCACUUUUCAGCUUUUUGACUUACGUACACUUUUAGUAUGGAUCCUACGCCAGGUUUUUAUAAAUGAGGCCCCUGAUUUUUUUUUUGGCCUACGCACUUUUCAGCUUUUCGACUUACGUACACUUUUAGUAUGGAUCCUACGCCAGGUUUUAUAAAUGAG